rnacentral:tRNA from 1 species
GGCGAGAUAGCUCAGCCGGUUAGAGCGCAUGAUUCAUAAUCAUGAGGUCGGGGGUUCAAUCCCCCCUCUCGCUACCA